UACCCGNUGGAACUUAAGCAUAUCAAUAAGCGGAGGAAAAGAAACCAACAGGGAUUGCCUCAGUAACGGCGAGUGAAGCGGCAACAGCUCAAAUUUGAAAUCUGGCCCCGUCGGGGUCCGAGUUGUAAUUUGUAGAGAGUGUUUCGGGUGAGACCAUGGUCUAAGUCUAUUGGAACAUGGCGUCAUAGAGGGUGAGAAUCCCGUAUGUGACCGUGGCUCGAGCCCAUGUGAAGCCUCUUCGACGAGUCGAGUUGUUUGGGAAUGCAGCUCAAAAUGGGUGGUAAAUUUCAUCUAAAGCUAAAUACUGGCUGGAGACCGAUAGCGCACAAGUAGAGUGAUCGAAAGAUGAAAAGCACUUUGGAAAGAGAGUCAAAAAGUACGUGAAAUUGUUGAAAGGGAAGCGCUUGCAACCAGACCUGUCCGUAGGUGAUCAGCCGCUGUUCUCAGCGGUGCACUCGCUCUGCGAUCAGGCCAGCAUCGGUUUCGGCGGUCGGAUAAAGGCCUUGGGAAUGUAGCUUCCUUCGGGGAGUCUUAUAGCCCUCGGUGCAAUGCGACCAGCCGGGACCGAGGACCGCGCUUCGGCUAGGAUGCUGGCGUAAUGGUUGUAAGCGACCCGUCUUGAAACACGGACCAAGGAGUCUAACAUCUAUGCGAGUGUUUGGGUGUCAAACCCAUGCGCGGAAUGAAAGUGAACGGAGGUGAGAACCCUUUAGGGCGCAUCAUCGACCGAUCCAGAUGUCUUCGGAUGGAUUUGAGUAUGAGCAUAGCUGUUGGGACCCGAAAGAUGGUGAACUAUGCCUGAAUAGGGUGAAGCCAGAGGAAACUCUGGUGGAGGCUCGCAGCGGUUCUGACGUGCAAAUCGAUCGU
rnacentral:rRNA from 1 species